GCUUGGUUUGGAGGCUGGGG
rnacentral:miRNA from 1 species